CUCAAAGAUUAAGCCAUGCAUGUGUAAGUGCAAGCCGUACUAAGGCGAAACCGCGAAAGGCUCAUUACAUCAGUUGUGGUUCCUUGGACUGUACCCAGUUACUUGGAUAACUGCGGAAAAUCUGGAGCUAAUACAUGCCGACGCUUUUAUUAGAUCAAAACCAAAAAUCCCCUUCGGGGGAAAAGGUUUAAGGUGACUCUGAAUAACUUUGUGCCGAUCGCACGGCCUCCGCGCCGGCGACGCAUCUUUCAAGUGUCUGCCUCAUCAACUUUCGAUGGUAGGAUAUACGCCUACCAUGGUUGUUACGGGUAACGGGGAAUCAGUGUUCGAUUCCGGAGAGGGAGCCUGAGAAACGGCUACCACAUCCAAGGAAGGCAGCAGGCGCGCAAAUUACCCACUCCCGGCACGGGGAGGUAGUGACGAAAAAUAACAAUACGGGACUCUUUCGAGGCUCCGUAAUUGGAAUGAGUACACUCUAAACCUUUUAACGAGGAUCUAUUGGAGGCAAAAUCAGGUGCCAGCAUCCGCGGUAAGACCUGUUCCAAUAGCGUAUAUUAAAGUUGUUGCGGUUAAAAAGCUCGUAGUUGGAUCUCAGUCGAGCUCCCGGCG
rnacentral:rRNA from 1 species